rnacentral:tRNA from 1 species
GCCAAGGUGGCGGAGAGGCUACGCAAAUGCCUGCAGAACCAAACCAGCGGAUAGCAUUACCACUCCGGUUCGAAUCCGGACCUUGGCU